rnacentral:rRNA from 1 species
GAGUUUGAUCCUGGCUCAGGACGAACGCUGGCGGCGCGCCUAACACAUGCAAGUCGAACGAGAGAGAGGGAGCUUGCUUCCUCGAUCGAGUGGCGAACGGGUGAGUAACGCGUGAGGAACCUGCCUCAAAGAGGGGGACAACAGUUGGAAACGACUGCUAAUACCGCAUAAGCCCACGGGUCGGCAUCGACCAGAGGGAAAAGGAGCAAUCCGCUUUGAGAUGGCCUCGCGUCCGAUUAGCUAGUUGGUGAGGUAACGGCCCACCAAGGCAACGAUCGGUAGCCGGACUGAGAGGUUGAACGGCCACAUUGGGACUGAGACACGGCCCAGACUCCUACGGGAGGCAGCAGUGAGGAAUAUUGCACAAUGGGGGAAACCCUGAUGCAGCGACGCCGCGUGGAGGAAGAAGGUCUUCGGAUUGUAAACUCCUGUUGUUGAGGAAGAUAAUGACGGUACCCAACAAGGAAGUGACGGCUAACUACGUGCCAGCCGCCGCGGUAAUAC